UACAGGGGGUGCAAACGUUGCUCGGAAUCAUUGGGCGUAAAGCGCACGUAGGCGGUCUGUUAUGUCGGAUGUGAAAGCCCUUGGCUCAACUGAGGAAGUGCAUCCGAAACUGGCAGGCUAGAGUACUAAAGAGGGUCGCGGAAUUCCCGGUGUAGAGGUGAAAUUCGUAGAUAUCAGGAGGAACACCGGUGGCGAAGGCGGGUCUCUGGGCCGAUAUUGACGCUGAGGAGCGAAAGCGUGGGGAGCAAACAGG
rnacentral:rRNA from 1 species